CAGUAGCCGCGGGAAUACGUAGGGUGCGAGCGUUGUCCGGAAUUACUGGGCGUAAAGAGCUCGUAGGCGGUUUGUCGCGUCGUCUGUGAAAUUCUGCAGCUUAACUGUAGGCGUGCAGGCGAUACGGGCAGACUUGAGUACUACAGGGGAGACUGGAAUUCCUGGUGUAGCGGUGAAAUGCGCAGAUAUCAGGAGGAACACCGGUGGCGAAGGCGGGUCUCUGGGUAGUAACUGACGCUGAGGAGCGAAAGCGUGGGUAGCGAACAGGAUUAGAUACCCGGGUAGUCCCUGUCUCUUAUAC
rnacentral:rRNA from 1 species